rnacentral:rRNA from 1 species
AUUGAACGCUGGCGGCAUGCCUUACACAUGCAAGUCGAACGGCAGCACGGGAGCAAUCCUGGUGGCGAGUGGCGAACGGGUGAGUAAUGUAUCGGAACGUGCCCAGUCGUGGGGGAUAACGCAGCGAAAGCUGUGCUAAUACCGCAUACGAUCUAUGGAUGAAAGCGGGGGAUCGCAAGACCCCGCGCGAUUGGAGCGGCCGAUAUCAGAUUAGCUAGUUGGUGGGGUAAAAGCUUACCAAGGCGACGAUCUGUAGCUGGUCUGAGAGGACGACCAGCCACACUGGAACUGAGACACGGUCCAGACUCCUACGGGAGGCAGCAGUGGGGAAUUUUGGACAAUGGGCGCAAGCCUGAUCCAGCAAUGCCGCGUGCAGGAUGAAGGCCUUCGGGUUGUAAACUGCUUUUGUACGGAGCGAAAAGGCUCUCUCUAAUACAGGGGGCUCAUGACGGUACCGUAAGAAUAAGCACCGGCUAACUACGUGCCAGCCGCCGCAGUAA